GACGAACGCUGGCGGCGUGCCUAAUACAUGCAAGUAGGACGCAGUUGCGAACGGGUGAGUAACGCGUAGGUAACUACCUAUUAGAGGGGGAUAACUAUUGGAAACGAUAGCUAAUACCGCAUACUAGUAGAUGGACCUGCGUUGUAUUAGCUAGUAGGUAGGGUAAAGGCCUACCUAGGCAAUGAUACAUAGCCGACCUGGGAGGGUGAACGGCCCAACUGGGAAUGGGACACGGCCCAGAAUCCUACGGGAGGCAGCAGUAGGGGAACUUCGGCAAAUGGGGGAAACCUGAACGAGCAACGCCGCGGGGGAUAAGAAGGUUUUCGGAUCUUAAAGCUAUGUUGUUAAGGGAGCGGUACUUAACCAGAAAGGGACGGCUAACUACGUGCCAGCAGCCGCGGUAAUUC
rnacentral:rRNA from 1 species